CUCCCAAUGGUCUAGUUGGUUUAUGGCGUCUGACUGUAAUGGAAAUUGUUAUCAGAAUGUCCCCUGUUCGAUUCAGGGUUGGGAGA